rnacentral:rRNA from 1 species
GGACCCGCACAAGCGGUGGAGCAUGUGGUUUAAUUCGACGCAACGCGAAGAACCUUACCAACUCUUGACAUCUUCUGAUCACCCUAGAGAUAGGGCUUUCCCUUCGGGGACAGAAUGACAGGUGGUGCAUGGUUGUCGUCAGCUCGUGUCGUGAGAUGUUGGGUUAAGUCCCAUAACGAGCGCAACCCUUAUUGUUAGUUGCCAGCAUUCAGUUGGGCACUCUAGCGAGACUGCCGGUGAUAAACCGGAGGAAGGUGGGGAUGACGUCAAAUCAUCAUGCCCCUUAUGAGUUGGGCUACACACGUGCUACAAUGGACGGUACAACGAGUAGCGAUCCCGCAAGGGUUAGCGAAUCUUAAUAAGCCGUUCUCAGUUCGGAUUGUUCUCUGCAACUCGAGAGCAUGAAGCCGGAAUCGCUAGUAAUCGCGGAUCAGAAUGCCGCGGUGAAUACGUUCCCGGGUCUU